rnacentral:rRNA from 1 species
AGAGGGUGCGAGCGUUAAUCGGAAUUACUGGGCGUAAAGGGUGCGUAGGUGGUUUUAUAAGUCAGAUGUGAAAGCCCCGGGCUUAACCUGGGAACUGCAUUUGAAACUAUGAGGCUAGAGUACGGUAGAGGGAAGUGGAAUUUCCGGUGUAGCGGUGAAAUGCGUAGAUAUCGGAAGGAACAUCAGUGGCGAAGGCGACUUCCUGGACCGAAACUGACACUGAGGCACGAAAGCGUGGGGAGCGAACAGGAUUAGAUACCCUGGUAGUCCACGCCGUAAACGAUGAGAACUAGAUGUUAGGUGGCUAGUCCCACUUAGUAUUGUAGCUAACGCGUUAAGUUCUCCGCCUGGGGAGUACGGCCGCAAGGUUA